AUUGAACGCUGGCGGCAGGCCUAACACAUGCAAGUCGAGCGGAUGAAGGGAGCUUGCUCCUGGAUUCAGCGGCGGACGGGUGAGUAAUGCCCAGGAAUCUGCCUGGUAAUGGGGGAUAACGUCCGGAAACGGGCGCUAAUACCGCAUACGCCCUGAGGGAGAAAGUGGGGGAUCUUCGGACCUCACGCUAUCAGAUGAGCCUAGGUCGGAUUAGCUAGUUGGUGGGGUAAAGGCCUACCAAGGCGACGAUCCGUAACUGGUCUGAGAGGAUGAUCAGUCACACUGGAACUGAGACACGGUCCAGACUCCUACGGGAGGUAGCAGUGGGGAAUAUUGGACAAUGGGCGAAAGCCUGAUCCAGCCAUGCCGCGUGUGUGAAGAAGGUCUUCGGAUUGUAAAGCACUUUAAGUUGGGAGGAAGGGCAGUAAGUUAAUACCUUGCUGUUUUGACGUUACCAACAGAAUAAGCACCGGCUAACUUCGUG
rnacentral:rRNA from 1 species